rnacentral:tRNA from 1 species
GUUAAGAUGGAGGAGCUUGGUAAUUGCAUAAAACUUAAAAUUUUAUAAUAAGAGGUUCAACUCCUCUUCUUAACA